GGAAUGCUAAAUACCCCAAGAGCCUCUAAUCUACCCGGACGAGUAGAAAAAUAGUGUGUGGUGUAUACAGACAUGAAAGAGCUUGUAAAAAGCAUGGAUGUAGAAAAAAAAUGGAAUACAAGAAAAGUAAUCAUCAAAGGCUACAAAGAUUUUUUUCUGUGAUAAACUGUCUGGUUGUCAGCCAUGCUUGUACGUGCGACUCAUUGUAAACAUUUUAUCUUAAGCCAGUGUGUCUAAUUCAGCUUUUUAAAAUGAAUAUAAUGCUAUGAUGUAAUACGUUUUGUCAUUUGAAACCAUUCUGUACGGACCUUUUACUUCGUUAAUUUUUUACGUUGCCAAAGUUCAGUUAGGUCGGUCACAACUAAUUAGUGGGUGAAGUGGUGGCUGAAUGGUACAGGUGGUGGUACCACUUAAGUGGUGCUUUUCAAGGCUGUGCCUGUCUCCACAUCUAACCAUUCCAUGUACAGAAUGUAAAUCAAUUAUACCACACCAUUGUGUAUUCAGUAUUCUAAUAUGAUAUAUAGUCAAAGUAGUCAUAUUAAUGGGUGUUCAUAUCUGUAUGACAACAUUGUGUAAUAAGGUUACCAUAGUAACCUAUUAGAUGUGUUCUGUAUAUGAGAUGUAAACUUAACAACUGAUGAUUUAAAUUUCACGGGUAUAUGUCUUUUUUUUUCUUAUAAGUUUGUAACAUUAGUCAACACUUUUUUAAAAAGGUAUUUGAGUCAACAUAACCAAUAAGAUAUUAAAUAUUGAGACUUUGCAGUGUUCCAUAUACAUGUAUAUUGCAGAACCUUAAAUGAAGGAAAAUCCCAAGGUUGUGUCAAAUUAAAAAAAGAAAGAAAAGAAGUAUUAGAAUGUAUAGGUAUCCACGAUCCUAUUUAAAUACAAAUUUUGUGUAUAUCAUUUGUACUAGAAAAUUAGUGACCAUGAAAAAAAAAAAGGAUUUUGCCAUAGAUGCUUGGGAGGAAUGUCCCCCUUCAGUGUAUAAUGAUUUCUUUUUUAUAGCUAUUAAAUGAACGAAUGUAUCAAUUUAUGCCAUUUGAAGGAAAUUUUGAUAAUAUAUGUAUUUUAAUUUAUUACAAAUUUGAAUUUUAUUUAUUGUAUUAUACAUAUUUUAAUUCGCCAUGGUAUAGGACUCGGAAAUGGUAACAGUCUGUGAUAUUUUGGAUAUUUUGUUUUAUAAACAAGACGACCGAUUCUUCUUCAUACCCCAUGACAUGGGUCUUUUCUGAUAGGACUGAUGAUCGAGGCUUUAAUUCAUAUGUAGAGAACAAAAAUAAUACAUAUUCACAUAUCAUUCUUGAACUUGAAAAUCUUUAAAUACUAGAUUUCAAAAUGAAUCGUAAUUCUCUGUAUAUAUUACCAGUAUAUAAGACUUUGAAAAAUGUAAUGAAAAAUAAAUUUGAAAAAAAAAUGAAAGGGAGAUAAUUUUGAAAAACAAACAAGAAUUAUCAGAAUAAUUCUUUAAUUUCCUGUUCUUUGUGUAAAAAGCUUCAAGCUAUAGAAUAUUAGUUUACAACUUUAUUUGUUAACGUUGAAUUUAUUUUUUAAUACCUUAUGUGCAAAUAUUUAUUGUGAUUGUAUUUGUGCAGUACUGCUGUCCAUUCUAAUCAAUUUAAUCAAUUGAAAUGUGAGAUUUGCACUCAAAAAGUUAUGCACACAUGUAGACUUAUUUAAUGCGCAUCAUGAAUUAUGGUAGUUCUAAUUUUUUUUUAUAGAAAUUUUUUUUAAAAUCAUGUAUCAAAGAUUGUUAUUGGCCUGAGGAUGUGUUUUGUUAAAGAUCUGCAAUAAAAUAAUAAUAUAU
rnacentral:misc_RNA from 1 species